rnacentral:lncRNA from 1 species
UUCUCCCAGAGAGAUACCAGAUCAUUAAAAGACAAAGCAUUAGCUGAAGGUCUAAUGUAGAGAAUUUUGUUCAAUGUUCUUGGAUCAUCAACUGCUUUGAUUAUAUAAGUAGCAAUAUCCUCUUCCUUGUUAAAAACAGCUGUUAAUUAAUUAACCUAAAGUUAUUAGUUAUGUAGUAUCAACACGCAGCGUCAUCACUUCUAAUUGAAGACAUGUUAUGUAUCCAACAUUGUGUUCGAUGUCAAACACACAUAUAGUUAAAAUCAAUUGCUUAUAUUUUCUUAAAUUAUUAUCACUACCUACGUGACCAUAUUAGUGCUAUGUCCAACGUUAGUGUUUGUAUUAGUUUUUCAUAGGAUAUGAGUGAAAUUCAACAUGCGUCGAUAUCAUAUUUCAACAAUGUGGUUAUAUUCAACUUCUUAAAAUAUUAAUGGUGUGUAUGUGUCAAUGUCAUGUUUGGUGUUCGGCUAUCUGUGUUUCUGUGUUUAAUAGGAUAUUAGGACAAUAAGUGAAAUUCAAGUAUAUAAUCUUGGUGUUAAACUGUGUCUAUAGUUUUCACCUUUGGGAUUUCCAUCUCCAAGGAUAACAACUUUAUCUCUUGGGGGAGAUGUAGCUCCACCAGGCUGUGACAAAGAGGGUAGGAAGUAAGCAGCAAAGAAGUUGCUUGACACAUAAGUGUAAGGAAUUCCUUCAGCUUCAAUGGUGCGGCGAAUUCUGGCUUUAGUGGCAUAUGCACUCUUUGCCGGUUCAACGAAGGUAAGUUAAAAAAAAAAAAAAAAAAAACAUAUCUACUCUCUUUUGCCCUCAGCGUAUGAAUAUAGAUUUUUGAUUCAAUAUUGUUGUUCCACGGUUUAGCAGCUGUAAGGAGUGUUAGAUAUGAAUAUCAGGCUAAUUCGAGCAAUAAUAUUGAAUUAACAGAAUCAAUGUAAUAAGUAUGACAAAGUUACUUGUUUCUAUGCAAUGACAGGAUAUUCACUGUCGAAGAAUUUGUUCACGCAGAGACCAACAAGACAGACACUAAACCAACCAUUGAACAUGACCAUGGUGUUGAUCACGCGGCUGAAAGUCUCCACCGUAAAAAUAGCUACAAACCGAGAAUGGAUUCACCAGUGACCAACAAGAAAAAUGACACGCUCAAGCAAGUAAUGGAGCAUAUGACAGAGACUAAUAGCAGUUUCAGUUUUCUGAUCAAUGAUAAUGAACAAGUUACAGGUUUGAUAACAGUGAGAGAUAUAAUUCUGCAAUUUGCCCCUCCUUGUGUGAAUUCUAGUAUUGGUGGAGGUGGAUUUUUUGAAUUGGCUUUGGAGCAGAGUGGAUGUCAAAUUAAGAACGGAACUAUGACUCGUAAUCGUUGAUCAAGGUAUGCGCCAAUGCAUUUACUUAAAGAAAGUGUAAUAGACAAAUUUUCUGUUUUAUAAGAUGUUAUUGAGCUCCAAAUCAAAGACCCUUUUUAUUGGAGAAAGAUUCUUCAGCAAUGACACGAUGGAACGCUGCCUACGACAUACAUGAAGACACUUUUCAGGAAUUUGGAUUCCUUAUAGGGAAAAGUGACUGUAGAGACAAUCUUGAUUGCUGGUAAAAAUCAGAUGGUUGAGACCGAUUUAUUAAAUAUACAAUGAAGUUGUCUGAUCUUGCAUGUAUAGUACUUAUUUGUCUGACUGUGAGACUACAGAGAUUGCCUAAGGCAGACAAGAAGAAAUGAUCACCGGAAAGGAGAACAAAUACACAUAUUAUGUUUGCCUAUAUCAGUAUUUCAUGACAUGUUUUGUAGACCAACACAAUCUUGGUGCUAUCAAGAUUGGGCUCAUAUCUUAAUAAUGUCUAUUACUCUAUCAUUUAUAAAAACAAGAAUUAUGUUAAAAAAUACUAUUUCUUAUUGGUUGAAAUUUAUUGUAAACUAGCUGAAUUUAUCAUAAUAAAACAUAGCAUAGCAUAGGUUUCUUCAUUCACAACCCAGCAAGUUGGGGCUGCAACUACUACAUGAUUUAUUUUAGACAGUGCAGUUUUACCAAAAGGAUAAAACACAUCAUGGUUUGCAUCUCAGAGAAACUGAUUGAGGAACUCAUCUACAGUAGUGUAUUUCACAUCAGGAUAGAGAGUUGUAGCUUCUACUCCAAAUGAUGGCUCAAUUUCAAAGUUAGUAUGAUCCCCUUUUACAUACACACAGUGAGCAAUUGACAGGAUCAUAUUUAAGGGAGGUGAGGACUCUGAAAGAUAGAAAGAAAAUCCAAUAAAUUAUUGCUGUUUUUAUUCAGAUUAUAUUAUGAACAAAGGUCACUUGUUACUAACCUUGAAUUUGCUUUAUAAGCUGUUCCUCUGGGACAUAGAUUCUUUCAAGAGUUUUACCAAUCUUAUUCUCCCAGAGAGAUACCAGAUCAUUAAAAGACAAAGCAUUAGCUGAAGGUCUAAUGUAGAGAAUUUUGUUCAAUGUUCUUGGAUCAUCAACUGCUUUGAUUAUAUAAGUAGCAAUAUCCUCUUCCUUGUUAAAAACAGCUGUUAAUUAAUUAACCUAAAGUUAUUAGUUAUGUAGUAUCAACACGCAGCGUCAUCACUUCUAAUUGAAGACAUGUUAUGUAUCCAACAUUGUGUUCGAUGUCAAACACACAUAUAGUUAAAAUCAAUUGCUUAUAUUUUCUUAAAUUAUUAUCACUACCUACGUGACCAUAUUAGUGCUAUGUCCAACGUUAGUGUUUGUAUUAGUUUUUCAUAGGAUAUGAGUGAAAUUCAACAUGCGUCGAUAUCAUAUUUCAACAAUGUGGUUAUAUUCAACUUCUUAAAAUAUUAAUGGUGUGUAUGUGUCAAUGUCAUGUUUGGUGUUCGGCUAUCUGUGUUUCUGUGUUUAAUAGGAUAUUAGGACAAUAAGUGAAAUUCAAGUAUAUAAUCUUGGUGUUAAACUGUGUCUAUAGUUUUCACCU